rnacentral:rRNA from 1 species
GACGAACGCUGGCGGCGUGCUUAACACAUGCAAGUCAGGGGGUGCCGUAAGGCAUCACCGGCGAACGGGUGCGUAACACGUGAGCGACCUGCCCUGGAGUGGGGGAUAGCCGGCCCAACGGCCGGGUAAUACCGCAUACGACGCGUCGGGGGCAUCCCCGGGGCGUGAAACCCGCAAGAGACUCUUGGAGGGGCUCGCGGCCUAUCAGCUAGUUGGCGGGGUGACGGCCCACCAAGGCGAUGACGGGAGCUGGUCUGAGAGGAUGGCCAGCCACAUUGGGACUGAGAGACGGCCCAGGCUCCUACGGGAGGCAGCAGUGGGGAAUCUUGCGCAAUGGCCGAAAGGCUGACGCAGCGACGCCGCGUGU